rnacentral:rRNA from 1 species
GCCAGACUCCUACGGGAGGCAGCAGUGGGGAAUAUUGGGCAAUGGGCGAAAGCCUGACCCAGCAACGCCGCGUGAAGGAAGAAGGCUUUCGGGUUGUAAACUUCUUUUGACAGGGAAGAGCAGAAGACGGUACCUGUCGAAUAAGCCACGGCUAACUACGUGCCAGCAGCCGCGGUAAUACGUAGGUGGCAAGCGUUGUCCGGAUUUACUGGGUGUAAAGGGCGUGUAGCCGGGCUGACAAGUCAGAUGUGAAAUCCCAAGGCUCAACCUUGGAACUGCAUUUGAAACUGUUGGUCUUGAGUAUCGGAGAGGCAGGCGGAAUUCCUAGUGUAGCGGUGAAAUGCGUAGAUAUUAGGAGGAACACCAGUGGCGAAGGCGGCCUGCUGGACGACAACUGACGGUGAGGCGCGAAAGCGUGGGGAGCAAACAGGAUUAGAUACCCCCGUAA